GGCAUAAGCGCACUUGUUCGUUAAGAAGACAAUAUCACAGGGAUCAGAUCCACCUAUAUUCGCGCAUUUUCUGAAUACCGGUUCUGCUUGGUCCUUGAACUCUUCUGGUAGAACUGCCAGUACUCCAUCUACAUCUAUUGAACCGUCAUCCUCAAUAGUUCCGAUUUCAUUAAGGAUGCAUCUCAUGUAGCACUUUAGCUUUGGAUCUUCAGGGAAUUCACCUUUGCGUGCAUUCAAUAUCAAAUUUUCGUCCACUCCCGUCUGGCCUAAGCAUUCGUUAUGCAAAUUGUCCAUUAGUGCCUGGACUUCUUCGUCAACAGCAUGAACAAAUUUUGUAGUUGAACACAAUCCAAUGAAAAGUAACACCAGGUUCAGCAUCUUCCUUACCG
rnacentral:misc_RNA from 1 species